UCCGGUGGCAAUGGCGAAGAGGAUACACCCGUUCCCAUCCCGAACACGGAAGUUAAGCUCUUCAGCGCCGAUGGUACUGCAUGGGUGACUGUGUGGGAGAGUAGGACGCCGCCGGGA
rnacentral:rRNA from 1 species